GGGGAAUAUUGGACAAUGGGGGGAACCCUGAUCCAGCCAUGCCGCGUGUGUGAAGAAGGCCUUUUGGUUGUAAAGCACUUUAAGCGAGGAGGAGGCUACUUAGAUUAAUACUCUAGGAUAGUGGACGUUACUCGCAGAAUAAGCACCGGCUAACUCUGUGCCAGCAGCCGCGGUAAUACAGAGGGUGCGAGCGUUAAUCGGAUUUACUGGGCGUAAAGCGUGCGUAGGUGGUCUUUUAAGUCGGAUGUGAAAUCCCUGAGCUUAACUUAGGAAUUGCAUUCGAUACUGGGAGACUAGAGUAUGGGAGAGGAUGGUAGAAUUCCAGGUGUAGCGGUGAAAUGCGUAGAGAUCUGGAGAAAUACCGAUGGCGAAGGCAGCCAUCUGGCCUAAUACUGACACUGAGGCACGAAAGCAUGGGGAGCAAACAGGAUUAGAUACCCUGGUAGUCCAUGCCGUAAACGAUGUCUACUAGCCGUUGGGGUCUUUAAGACUUUAGUGGCGCAGCUAACGCGAUAAGUACACCGCCUGGGGAGUACGGUCGCAAGACUAAAACUCAUAUGAAUUGACGGGGGCCCCCACAAGCGGUGGAGCAUGUGGUUUAA
rnacentral:rRNA from 1 species